rnacentral:lncRNA from 1 species
GAAGUGGGAAGCGUAGCACUGAGCUAUCAACGGCGGAGAGACAAGAAAUACAGAUGAAGAAAGCUAAGCUAAUUACCAUGCUUGAUGAGGUAUUUCAUUUUUUUUUUAACUUUUUUGAUUAAGUGAUUAAUUUUGCACGAGUUAAUUAAUUAAGACUAUGUCAUUUUUUUUCUUCUUGCUAAAGUGGAAGAAUUGUUACACUUAUGACGUAUCUUGCUUUCAUUGAUUUAUCAUGCAAUGCAAUGAAUGAAAAUCCAAUGCUACUAAAAGUAUGUCUAACCCAUUUUUCUAUCAUUGGAGUAUUUAAGUGGUUUCACUUGUACCCACCAUUUAUAUUUGAUUUUUUCUAGCAUAUAAAAAAAAUAUUUGAUUUUUUCUAAAUUAUAUUUUUUUAAAAACUUGUGGUUAGUUUUUUUAUUUUUAAAUAGCCUGAUUAAAAAUUAUACUAUUGAGAUAAAUAAUUGGAGUAUCCGAAAUUCGGACUCUCGUCUUUGCAUAUAUAUACUAUAAUAUGGUGUUUUUAUUAACUGAGUUAAACUCACAUAGACAAUUGUGAAUAGUUUACCCAACAACUAAUAAAAAUUAAUCACAUAAAUAAAUUUGAAAGCAAAGUAUAGUUAAUUUGUAGAUACCACUUACAAAUUUACUCACCUGAAUAAUUGAAUUCAUUGAUUAUAAAUUACCCACAAUUCUUCAAAGUAUAACUUAGACUCGAUGUCAUUUUUUGUUUUUUUUUAAAAGAUAAAUGUUGUUCCGACGCAAAUUUUCACGCAAAAUUUGUUCCCUCUCAAAUUAAUUUCACAAUUUGACACAUGACUACUCAUUUCACUUAUUUUGACUAUUUUUUUAUAGGAAAAUGCUAAACAGUGUCCCCGGGGCACUAAUUAAGAAUACAAAUAUAAAAGUUUUAUCUCGUAAAUUGUGCAUUCAAUGUUUUAAUGAUGUGUAAAAUUAUUCUCUCUCAUCAUUAACUUUAUCAUUUGUUUCCUUUUUUAGUAUGCUUAACUAGUGCCCCAGGGGUACUGUUUAGCAUGACCCUUUUUUAUAUAUAUAAGAUGUUCAAUUUAUAAUGAUGGUUAAAAUUUUACAUGAAAAUGGAAUUAUGACAACAAAAAAAAUUUGGUUACAAUUAUGACACUUAUUUUUUAAUAGAGUGGAUAUUUGUUCUCUGACCUAUCAAUCACUCAAAUAAUUUGUUUUUAGCCUGAGC